CGCAGACCUCCAAAAAAUUUCAAAAAAAAAAAAAAAAAAAAAAUGCCAACAGACACUACACACUUCACACUCCACAGUCAGUUACAGGGUCUCUCCCUAAUCCCAAAAUGAUCCAGAUCAUAAUCUCUAUCCACUAAUUGGCACUGCCACAUUUGGCUGAUUAGUUCGUUAUUUUCGAGGUGGGGUUUGAUUUUUCCGGUGGUUUCUGGCGGCGAGGGGCGGAGAGAAAUGAGCAUUUGGGGCGAUGACUACGAUGUCAACCAACCCCAACACCAGUUCCAGUCCCAAAGACCAGACCAAUUCCCGAUCACCCAAAAGCCGGCGGUGGCGGCAGAGCCAGGUGGCGACGGCCGUGAUAGCCAUAGCGGCGCUCUUGAUCUCCACGGCCGCGUGGCUCUCUCUGGUGUUCUCCGGCAGUCCUCCGUCGCUCACCGUCGCCCGCUUGCAGAACAAGGCACCGGCUCCGUCUUUUGCUCAGUACCGAAACGACAGCGUUGCGGUUUCCGAAGACGAAGAGUGGAGCGACGAGGAGGAGCUGAGCCUAGACGACGUCGUUUUCGGGAUUGCCGGGUCGUCCGGGCUCUGGAAGCAGCGGAAGGAGUACGUCAGGCUGUGGUGGCGUCCGGACGACAUGCGCGGCCACGUCUGGAUGGACGAGAAAGUCCCUGAAGAAGAAAACGACGAGUCGUUGCCUCCGAUCAUGGUGUCCGAGGACAUCUCGAGGUUCCGGUACACAAACCCGACGGGUCACCCGUCGGGGCUCCGAAUCUCCCGCAUAAUUUCCGAGUGCUUCCGCCUCCUCCUGCCCAAAGUCCGGUGGUUCGUGCUGGCGGACGACGACACCAUCAUCAACGCCGAUAACCUCGUCGCAGUUCUGAGCAAAUACGACGCGUCGGAGAUGGUUUAUGUGGGGAGUCCAUCGGAGAGUCACUCUGCCAAUACUUAUUUCAGUCAUUCCAUGGCUUUUGGCGGUGGGGGUAUUGCGAUUAGCUAUCCUCUGGCGAAGGCUCUCUCUGAAAUUCAAGAUGAGUGUCUCGAGAGGUACCCGAAACUCUAUGGAAGCGAUGAUCGACUCCAUGCCUGCAUUACUGAGCUUGGGGUUCCUUUAAGUAGAGAGCCCGGCUUUCACCAGUACGAUAUCAGAGGUAAUGCACACGGUCUUCUAUCUUCUCAUCCGAUAGCACCAUUUGUGUCGAUUCACCAUGUUGAAGCUGUGGAUCCUUUUUAUCCUGGUUUAAACUCUCUACAAAGUUUGAAGCUGUUUACACAUGCUAUGAGACUCCAACCCAGCAGCUUUUUGCAGCGAUCCAUUUGUUAUGAUCACCGAUACCAUCUCACAUUUUCGGUUUCUCUUGGUUAUGCGGUCCAAGUCUUCCCACAAAUCGUGCUUCCUCGUGACCUCGAGCGAUCAGAGCAGACUUACUCUGCUUGGAAUGGAAUCACCACGAGGAAUGAAUUUGAUAUGGACACCAAAGACGUGUACAGGUCUGUUUGUAAGAAGCCCAUUCUGUUCUUCUUGAAAGAUAUUAGGUCACAGGGUAAUGCUACUUUGGGUUCAUAUAUGAGGAGUAGAGCAAAAGAUGAUUUCAAAAGAACAGUUCUAUGCUUUCCCCGAUCCCGGCAUUUGCGCCAUCUGCGAAAAAUUCAGGUUUUGGUUCAUCCACUCACCAAGAAAUGGCAUUUGGUACCGCGCCGGCUAUGUUGCCAACUGAACCAAAAGAGUGACGAAUUCCUUAGAUUAGAAGUUGGACAAUGUGCUAAGGGAGCUUCUGGUUCUAUUACUAAUUUUAAAUGACUGCUUGGUAGAUGGUAGUGCUCAUUGGAUUCUGACAUGAACAACUUGGUAGAAGGCCCCCCACCGUUAUGUGUGGCCACAGUGAAAGGCUUUGAACUUGCUGUUAUUCAUUCAGCUGACGUCUGUCAAACUCUGGAAACUUGUGCUUGCAUAUACUAGCGUCCUUUAUUCUACACAAGAAAGUCGAAGAGAAGCACGUGAACCACGACUACAUUCUUUGCCUUCAAUUUUGUUCUGAAGUGAUCAUGGUGUGAUCUAGGGCCUAAUGGUCAUCGUUUUGACCAAGUUAGAAAUGCUGUUGGCAGCAUCAUAAGCAAGCUAGAAUGCCAAACAUUUUUACUCAUAUCGAGUGAGGAAAAUUAGAAUAUGUUUAAAAGCAACCUGCAGCUUAAGGCAUUAUUGAGUUGUAUGGAAAUUGUGUUAACCCCCAAGCCUUGUAAGUAUUGAGGAACUCAAGGUGAUUGUGGACAGAGUUGUAAGGUUGAUGAUGUAUUGACUUGGUUCCUACAAAGUCGAUAUUAUUUUGGACUACUCGAGGUUGGCUUUAGAAUCCAUUUUUUUCAA